rnacentral:rRNA from 1 species
AUGAACGCUGGCGGCGUGCCUAAUACCUGCAAGUCGAGCGAACAGACGAGGAGCUUGCUCCUCUGACGUUAGCGGCGGACGGGUGAGUAACACGUGGAUAACCUACCUAUAAGACUGGGAUAACUUCGGGAAACCGGAGCUAAUACCGGAUAAUAUAUUGAACCGCAUGGUUCAAUAGUGAAAGACGGUUUUGCUGUCACUUAUAGAUGGAUCCGCGCCGCAUUAGCUAGUUGGUAAGGUAACGGCUUACCAAGGCAACGAUGCGUAGCCGACCUGAGAGGGUGAUCGGCCACACUGGAACUGAGACACGGUCCAGACUCCUACGGGAGGCAGCAGUAGGGAAUCUUCCGCAAUGGGCGAAAGCCUGACGGAGCAACGCCGCGUGAGUGAUGAAGGUCUUCGGAUCGUAAAACGCUGUUAUUAGGGAAGAACAAAUGUGUAAGUAACUAUGCACGUCUUGACGGUACCUAAGCAGAAAGCCACGGCUAACUACGU